GACAUUCUUGCUAUCCCCGUCUCUUCGGUUGCUUCUGAAUCAGCUUUUAGUACAGGGAAGCGUGUCCUUGACCCAUUUCGGAGCUCUUUAUCUCCUAGGACAGUUGAGGCCCUGAUUCUAACACAGAACUGGUUGCGCACACCUCUGAAUAUUGAUGUAUCAAGCUUUGCAGUUGAUAAUGCUGAAGAGUUUGAGACAGAUAUCCUAGGCCCCGUGACUGCAGAAGAUUGAUAGAGGGAGCUAAUGACAACUAAUGGUAUUUGAUUAAUGGUGCUACUUGGAAGAAACUAUGGAAUAAUCUAUCCUAUUGGAGUUUCACUUACACAUUAGCUGAAGAAUACCUGGAGUUUGCAUAUUAGUUGAAGAAUAAAACCUUAGUGAUAUCGUUCGUUCAUUCUUUAUUCAUUCAUUCUUUAUUCUUAC